UACGUAGGGUGCGAGCGUUAAUCGGAAUUACUGGGCGUAAAGCGUGCGUAGGCGGUUCGUUAAGUUCGUUGUGAAAGCCCCGGGCUCAACCUGGGAAUGGCAAUGGAAACUGGCGGGCUGGAGUAUGGCAGAGGGGGGUGGAAUUCCGCGUGUAGCAGUGAAAUGCGUAGAGAUGCGGAGGAACACCGAUGGCGAAGGCAGCCCCCUGGGCCAAUACUGACGCUCAGGCACGAAAGCGUAGGGAGCAAACAGG
rnacentral:rRNA from 1 species